GUUUGCUCAAGUCCAUUAAGCAGUGAAAUGUGGCUGUGACAGCUGUGAUGAAACAUCAAUUUCUUUGCCCACAGAGCCAGGAAGAGCCAAGGCGGAGCUACACAACAGAAUACUGGCCCAUGUUUCAAAGCUCUUGAAUAAUUCUCUGGAACUCCCUCCCACAAGAGGUUAGACUGACUCCAUCUUUACUAUCCUUCUGCAAUCAGGUGAAGACCUUCCUCUUCAGGCAAGCUUUCCUUGACUGAAUGGCUGCCGAGAGGGGUUUUUAAAAUGGGUAGUUGUACCUUAAUGCACUGAAUUUGUUUUGGCUUUGCUUAUGUUUUUUGGUACUGUAUUUAUUGAUCCUUUUAGUAUUGUAUACUCAUUAUAACUAACUUAAAUACAGUCUUUUAAUUGUUGUAAACUGCCCUGGGUCCUUUUUAAGGAGAACAGUGGGUUAAAGAUAUUUAAAAUAAAUAAAUAAAAUAAUAAUUCAGGCUUGACUAAGUCAUGGUCUUGUAAUGUUGGGAUGUGUGCAGUGGAAGAUCUUCAUGGCUUUGACUGUUCAGUUUGUAUUUCAGGAGUUAUUUUCCCUCUGCCAUUCUCUGACUGCAUUGUGUCAUCACUACAGGCACCAUGAAAAGCCAGUGUUCCCAGGGCUUUCAGAAAUCCUUCAAAUGUCCACUUUUUGCAGCAUGAAGACGUUCCUUCAGAUUUUCCAAUGUACAUGAAAGAGAAGACUCACUAUGCCAAAUGCCCUCCUUCCAUACUGAGAAAAAGACCACCCUUCAACCAAGAUCUCAGCAAAACACGAAAAGCAGAGCGGCGAGUUCGGUUCCAGGAACCAGAAGAGAUCAUUAGACGUGCUCGCCAGAGGACGGCAAACACCAUGCCUUUGUUCCUGUGGAUUUUCCUUUGUCUGGCCCUGUUUUUGGCUCUAAGUCUAUAUUGCAGUAGCGUGAGGCAAGAUUUCAAAGUCCUGGAAGACUUUCGCUCCCAGCUUGUUAUCGCCUUUCUUCAGAUCAGACAUGUUGCUCUGAAAUGCUGGACCUGGUUUACGAGUCAAUAAGCAGCAAUGCAUAGGAAGCCAAACAGAGCUGGAGACAAUGGGUGGUUUCCUUCAGGACCUCUGAAUGCAUUUGGGGGGGGGGGGGAAAUAAAGCCCUUUUUAGAAAGAACUCA
rnacentral:lncRNA from 1 species